CCUACGGGUGGCAGCAGUGAGGAAUAUUGGACAAUGGUCGGAAGACUGAUCCAGCCAUGCCGCGUGCAGGAUGAAGGUCUUAUGGAUUGUAAACUGCUUUUGUAAGGGAAGAAUAAGAGCUACGCGUAGUUUGAUGACGGUACCUUAUGAAUAAGCAUCGACUAACUCCGUGCCAGCAGCCGCGGUAAUACGGAGGAUGCGAGCGUUAUCCGGAAUCAUUGGGUUUAAAGGGUCUGUAGGCGGGCUGGUAAGUCAGAGGUGAAAGCGCUCAGCUCAACUGAGCAACUGCCUUUGAAACUGUUGGUCUUGAAUGGUUGUGAAGUAGUUGGAAUGUGUAGUGUAGCGGUGAAAUGCUUAGAUAUUACACAGAACACCGAUAGCGAAGGCAUAUUACUAACAAUUAAUUGACGCUGAUGGACGAAAGCGUGGGGAGCGAACAGGAUUAGAUACCCUGGUAGUC
rnacentral:rRNA from 1 species